rnacentral:rRNA from 1 species
AUUGAACGCUGGCGGCAGGCCUAACACAUGCGAGUCGAACGGUAACAGGAAGCAGCUUGCUGCUUCGCUGACGAGUGGCGGACGGGUGAGUAAUGUCUGGGAAGCUGCCUGAUGGAGGGGGAUAACUACUGGAAACGGUAGCUAAUACCGCAUAAUGUCGCAAGACCAAAGAGGGGGACCUUCGGGCCCCUUGCCAUCGGAUGUGCCCAGAUGGGAUUAGCUUGUUGGUGGGGUAACGGCUCACCAAGGCGACGAUCCCUAGCUGGUCUGAGAGGAUGACCAGCCACACUGGGACUGAGACACGGUCCAGACUCCUACGGGAGGCAGCAGUGGGGAAUAUUGCACAAUGGGCGCAAGCCUGAUGCAGCCAUGCCGCGUGUAUGAAGAAGGCCUUCGGGUUGUAAAGUACUUUCAGCGGGGAGGAAGGGAGUAAAGUUAAUACCUUUGCUCAUUGACGUUACCCGCAGAAGAAGCACCGGCUAACUCCGUG